rnacentral:rRNA from 1 species
CGGCAGCAUGAUCUAGCUUGCUAGAUUGAUGGCGAGUGGCGAACGGGUGAGUAAUACAUCGGAACGUGCCCUGUAGUGGGGGAUAACUAGUCGAAAGAUUAGCUAAUACCGCAUACGACCUGAGGGUGAAAGUGGGGGACCGCAAGGCCUCAUGCUAUAGGAGCGGCCGAUGUCUGAUUAGCUAGUUGGUGAGGUAAAGGCUCACCAAGGCGACGAUCAGUAGCUGGUCUGAGAGGACGAUCAGCCACACUGGGACUGAGACACGGCCCAGACUCCUACGGGAGGCAGCAGUGGGGAAUUUUGGACAAUGGGCGAAAGCCUGAUCCAGCAAUGCCGCGUGUGUGAAGAAGGCCUUCGGGUUGUAAAGCACUUUUGUCCGGAAAGAAAUGGCUCUGGUUAAUACCUGGGGUCGAUGACGGUACCGGAAGAAUAAGGACCGGCUAACUACGUGCCAGCAGCCGCGGUAAUACGUAGGGUCCAAGCGUUAAUCGGAAUUACUGGGCGUAAAGCGUGCGCAGGCGGUUGUGCAAGACCGAUGUGAAAUCCCCGAGCUUAACUUGGGAAUUGCAUUGGUGACUGCACGGCUAGAGUGUGUCAGAGGGGGGUAGAAUUCCACGUGUAGCAGUGAAAUGCGUAGAGAUGUGGAGG